rnacentral:RNase_P_RNA from 1 species
GAGCAGGCCGGGCAGCUGCGGGGAUCUUUUAUAAGAUCAAUGAGGAAAGUCCGAGCUUCACAGAGCAGGAUAACGGCUAACGGCCGCCGAGGGUGACCUUAGGGAAAGUGCAACAGAGAUAUACCGCCCGCUUUUGCGGGUAAGGGUGGAAAGGCGAGGUAAGAGCUCACCGGCGUGCGGGGAACCGCAUUGCCCUGCAAACCCUAUCCGAAGCAACACCGACCGGAGAGGAGCGAAAGCUCCGCGCUUGCUCGGCGUAAUUCUCUCCGACGGGUGGCUUGAGCGUAUCGGCAACGGUGCGCCUAGACAGAUAGUUGCCUUAAAAGACAAAACUCGGCUUACAGGCCUGCUCG